UUGGCCGUCAGGCAGACACAGCAAGGACGGCCUUCGAGUGAGGCUGGGAGAGCCUUAGGCUGGAAGGCAGUGGCUGCUCCUGGCCACAGGGGAAGGCUGCUCCCUUUUGGCUUCCUCUCUUACAGCUGGAAACACACACAGUGAUGGGACCAGACCACGGCACACUCCUGGCCUCACUGCCCUCGACCACUCAGCUGGAAGGAAGAGCUGCCACCGCUCUCCAGGACAGCCAGAAACACACAGCGAUGGGACCAGACCAUGGCACAAUCCUGGCCUUGCUACACUCGACCACUCAGCUGGAAGGAAGAGCUGCCAGCUCUCUACAGGAGAGCCAGACACACAAUGCAAUGGGACCAGACCACGGCACUCUCCUGGCCUCGCUCCCCUUAAGAACUCAGCAGAAGAUGACAACACUCUACAGGACAGAUAAGACAGCCCCAACCCAUUCCCCACCACGGUCCCACCUCGCUCAGUGGGAACGUGACACGGUUGAGCUACAACCAACAUCUCCUGGACUUCAGGAAGAUGCGAGUUGGACGGCCUUGGUGUGAGGCUGGGAGAGCCUCGCGCAGGGAGGCAGGGAUGGCUUCCAGUGCUGGCAGGGGUGGCUGCUCGGUUUCUCGCCUCCUCUAUUACAGCUGGACACACGGACAGUGACGGAAUGAAGCCAUGGCACACCCCUGGCCUCUCUCCCCUUGAGAAGUCAGCUGGAAAAGCUGUCAGUGUUCUCCAGGACAGG
rnacentral:lncRNA from 1 species